GCCGGCGGCGUGGCAUAGUGGUAGCGUCCCGAGGUAGCCCCCCCGGUAUUGGGAACUUUUCCUAGAGGAAGUUCUACUACUGGGAGUUCGUGAGUUCGAUUCUCACCACUGGCA